UCCCUUGUAGUUCAGUCGGUAAAGCAUCUGCCUGCAAUGCGGGAGACCCGGGUUUGAUCCCUGGGUUGGGAA
rfam:Ovis aries breed Texel chromosome 2, whole genome shotgun sequence.